UACGAAGGGGGCUAGCGUUGCUCGGAAUCACUGGGCGUAAAGCGCACGUAGGCGGAUCCUUAAGUCGGGGGUGAAAUCCUGGAGCUCAACUCCAGAACUGCCUUCGAUACUGAGGAUCUCGAGUCCGGGAGAGGUGAGUGGAACUGUGAGUGUAGAGGUGAAAUUCGUAGAUAUUCGCAAGAACACCAGUGGCGAAGGCGGCUCACUGGCCCGGUACUGACGCUGAGGUGCGAAAGCGUGGGGAGCAAACAGG
rnacentral:rRNA from 1 species